CCGGAGCGAGCAGCCGCCCGCGAGCCGCCGCGGAGCCUCCUCGCCCGCUGCCUCCGGCGAGCAAGAUGAUGUGCGAGGUGAUGCCGACCAUCAGUGAAGCAGAAGGCCCCCCAGGAGGAAGUGGGAGCCAUGGAUCCGGCUCCCCUUCACAGCCAGAUGCAGAUUCACAUUUUGAACAGUUGAUGGUCUCCAUGCUAGAAGAAAGGGAUUGUCUUCUGGACACACUCAGAGAGACUCAAGAAACAUUGGCACUAACCCAGGGGAAAUUACACGAGGUUGGUCAUGAAAGAGAUUCCUUACAGAGACAGCUCAACACUGCACUUCCACAGGAGUUCGCAGCACUUACUAAAGAACUCAAUGUAUGCAGGGAACAGCUCCUUGAAAGGGAAGAAGAAAUUGCUGAACUGAAAGCAGAAAGGAACAACACCAGGUUGCUGUUGGAGCACUUGGAAUGCCUCCUCUCUAGGCACGAGCGGUCCCUCAGGAUGACCGUGGUAAAGAGACAAGCUCAGUCCCCAGCAGGCGUGUCCAGCGAAGUGGAAGUGCUUAAAGCACUGAAGUCAUUAUUUGAACACCACAAAGCUCUGGAUGAAAAGGUGAGAGAACGGUUACGAGUAGCACUUGAAAGAUGUAGUUUGUUAGAAGAAGAAUUAGGUGCCACACACAAAGAGCUAAUGAUUCUUAAAGAACAGAAUAAUCAGAAGAAAACACUAACAGAUGGAGUGGUUGACAUAAACCAUGAACAAGAGAGCACGCCGAGUACGAACGGAAAGAGAUCUUCUGAUGGGUCUUUGAGCCAUGAGGAAGACCUUGCUAAGGUAAUUGAGCUGCAGGAAACCAUAAGCAAGCAGUCAAGGGAGCAGAGCCAGAUGAAGGAGCGCCUGGCUGCUCUUUCCAGUCACGUGGCAGAGCUGGAAGAGGAUCUUGACACUGCUAGAAAAGAUCUCAUCAAAUCUGAAGAAAUGAACACAAAAUUGCAACGAGAUGUCCGUGAAGCCAUGGCCCAGAAGGAAGACAUGGAAGAGAGAAUCACCACUCUUGAAAAACGCUACCUCGCUGCACAGCGUGAAGCCACAUCUGUGCAUGACCUCAAUGACAAACUUGAAAAUGAAAUUGCAAAUAAAGAUUCUAUUCAUCGACAGACUGAAGAUAAAAACCGCCAGUUACAAGAACGCCUGGAGUUGGCAGAGCAGAAGCUGCAGCAGACUCUGAGAAAAGCCGAAACGCUCCCCGAGGUGGAGGCCGAGAUGGCCCAGAGAGUGGCCGCCCUUUCCAAGGCUGAAGAGAGACACGGCAACAUUGAAGAAAGGUUACGACAGAUGGAAGCGCAUUUAGAGGAAAAGAAUCAAGAACUGCAGCGGACAAGGCAGAGAGAAAAAAUGAAUGAAGAACAUAAUAAACGUUUAUCAGACACUGUCGACAAGCUUCUCUCAGAGUCUAACGAGCAGCUUCAGCUCCACUUGAAGGAGAGGAUGGCUGCUUUGGAAGACAAGAAUUCUCUAUUACAAGAAGUUGAAAAUGCAAAAAAGCAAUUAGAAGAAACGCAACAUGAUAAGGAUCAGCUCAGUUGAUCUGCUGUCGCCCAGUGGGCAGGCCGAUGCACAGACGUUAGCCAUGAUGCUUCAGGAGCAGCUGGACGCCAUCAACAAAGAGAUAAGGUUGAUACAAGAAGAAAAGGAAAACACAGAGCAGCGAGCAGAGGAGAUUGAAAGUAGAGUUGGUAGUGGAAGUUUAGACAAUCUUGGUCGUUUUAGAUCAAUGAGCUCCAUUCCCCCAUAUCCUGCCUCCUCGCUUGGCGGCUCCUCCCCCCCAGGCAGCGGUCGCUCCACCCCAAGGAGGAUCCCGCACAGCCCAGCCAGGGAGGUGGACAGACUGGGCAUCAUGACUCUAUUGCCAUAUUCCAGAGAAGAGGUACGAGAUGAUAAGACAACAAUAAAAUGUGAAACCUCCCCCCCUGCCUCCCCCGGGUCCCUCCGGCUAGACAGGCCACAGAAAGGAGCGCUGCACACAGUCAGCCAUGAGGACAUCAGGGACAUGAGAAACUCCACAGGCUCGCAGGAUGGCCCUGUGAGCAAUCCCAGCAGCAGCAACAGGAGCCAGGACUCGCUGCACAAAGCCCCAAAGAAGAAGGGCAUCAAGUCCUCUAUUGGCCGCUUGUUUGGCAAGAAAGAAAAGGGCCGGCCUGGACCAGCUGGCAAAGCCUCGUUAGAGCAAGCUGGUGUUUCAGAGACAGAGAACUAAUCUCCAGAUGCCUUGGGACUUAGCAAAUUGGGAGGACAGGCUGAAAAAAGUCGUAAACUUCAAAAACACGAAUUGCUACAGGAAGCCCGGAGACAAGGUUUACCUUUUGCCCAGUGGGAUGGACCAACUGUUGUCAUUUGGCUGGAGCUGUGGGUGGGGAUGCCAGCCUGGUACGUGGCCGCCUGCCGAGCAAAUGUGAAGAGCGGCGCCAUCAUGUCGGCCCUGUCGGACACGGAGAUCCAGCGGGAGAUAGGCAUCAGCAACCCCCUGCACAGGCUGAAGCUGUGGCUGGCCAUCCAGGAGAUCAUGUCGCUCACCAGCCCGUCUGCCCAGCCCACAUCUAGAACGACCACAGGAAAUGUCUGGUUAACACACGAAGAGAUGGAAAUGCUCGCAGCCACGCCGCAAACGACACUUGCAUACGGGGACAUGAACCACGAGUGGACUGGCAACGAGUGGCUCCCCAGCCUGGGCCUCCCGCAGUACCGCAGCUAUUUCAUGGAGUGCCUUGUUGAUGCCCGCAUGCUGGACCACUUGAUCAAGAAGGACCUCCGCGGGCAGCUGAAAAUGGUUGACAGUUUCCACAGAAACAGUUUCCAGUGUGGAAUUAUGUGCCUGCGAAGGUUAAAUUAUGACCAAAAAGAACUGGAAAGAAAAAGAGAAGAAAGCCAGAAUGAAAUAAAAGAUGUCCUUGUUUGGAGCAAUGAUUGAGUGAUUCGCUGGAUCCUGUCUAUUGGUCUUAAAGGAUAUGCAAACAAUCUCAUAGAGAGUGGCGUUCACGGUGCACUUCUGGCCUUAGAUGAAACGUUCGAUUUCAACGCACUGGUGCUGCUGUUACAGAUCCCGACGCAGAACACACAGGCUCGUGCUGUCUUGGAAAGAGAGUUUAACAACCUUUUGGUCAUGGGAACUGACAGAAGGUUCGAUGAAGAUGAUGAUAAAAGCUUUAGGAGAGCACCUUCAUGGAGAAAAAAAUUUAGACCAAAGGACAUUCGUGGCUUAGCUGCUGGGUCAGCAGAGACUCUCCCUGCAAACUUCCGCGUUACUUCUUCUAUGUCUUCAUCCUCUAUGCAGCCAAAGAAGAUGCAGAUGGACGGCAAUGUAUCAGGAACGCAGAGGUUGGAUUCUGCUACAGUCAGGACUUACUCCUGCUAAAGCCUCCUGUUGUUUACCCACACUACUUCUACAGAUGAUUAUGCAGCAUUUUGAAUCCGACAAAGACUACAUUUUAGAAUCCAGUGGAAUCUUUAAUCUGUUAAUAAUUGUUAUAUGGACCCUAAGGUAUUUUAUUACAGAGUUUUUAAUUAGUAAAAAAAUUCAUGAAUACCAUAGAGAAAAUAUUUUAGAAUUUAAUGUUUCUUAUAUUUAUGUAAACUUAUGACUCUUCAUUUAUAUAGUUACUUACUUUUUCAUGUAUAUCCAGGCUAUAAAUAUCCUUUCAAAUCAAGUUCUUAUACCUAAUUUUAGUCUUUCAAAAGAAUGUACUGUAAUGCUUGUAUGUAUAAAUGCUAUGAAUAAAUAUAGGGCUUUUGUAAAUUGUGCAUUUAUUGUAAUUAUCAUUGUUUAAUUUUUUAAUGAUAAACCAUGAUAAAGGAUUUUACUAUGUUUAUAAAAGUAUCAUGACACAAGCAAUGUGCAUUGUCCUUUACAAAUGCAACCUAGCUCUGCAACAAUCAUUUGGAAAUAAGCAUACUUAAUUUCAAGCAAUUGUUGUAUUUUAAUGACUGACCUUAACUAUACUUUUUCUAGCAAGAAAUGCUUUUUUUCUGCAGCGUGAACAGAUUUUAAAUAACUGGUAUUAAACAUCAGCCUCUAAUAAAAUUUGGACUGAAAGGAUUAUCAGAACACUAUAAAAUCUUAGCACUGGUUAACUCUUUCCUAGCCUAGUCUUUGGACUUGGGCAGCUUGUCUUCAGUGACUGACAGGAGCUGGGAACUGGAAAGAGUUUUCUCAGCGGGAAAGAAAGACAGGUAACCUGGGACUGGCCCCAACGCUGGGAGCCUCCUUCUCUGCUUCCCUCCCCAGCAAGGGGGCGCGGCGCCCUUACACCCACUCUUCGAGGACCAAUCACCAAGCACUGUGGUCUCAUCUCACAGACCUCGGUGCGUAUAACAGAUGAAGGCAGGAGAUCCUGAGAACUGUGUCGUGCAACUCUCAUAAAGGCCUUAUGUUUCUUAUGUAAAUCAUCUUUUUUACAUUUGUUUGUAAACAUGUUUAAAGAAUGAACCUAGUCGUACAUUUUUUAGACUUUGAUGAUAUAGCCAUUUUGGAUUGUAUAAGUAGCAAAUGUAACUUUUCCUUUUUAAGCGGCAUAUUAAAAAGCCAGCAAGCAAUGUGUCAGGUCACGGUGCGUUAUUUAUUAUGCAGCUGAUACAGAUAGAGACGGCAUGUCUUUUUACAUUUGGUUUCUGCUUCUAAUUUACUUGUACAAUUCAUUGUUACUGUUCUGUUUUUCUAUUAAUCUUUUGUGAAAUUCCUGAUCAUGUAACAAAGUAUGUACAGUCUACUUUUGAACUAUUUUUAUCACAGUAUUAUUUAUUGCUUUCUUUCAAUAAAGUACUGAAGCAUUUUCCACUGCCAA